rnacentral:rRNA from 1 species
UACGUAGGCGGCGAGCGUUUUCCGGAAUUACUGGGCGUAAAGGGCGUGUAGGCGGCUUUUUAAGUCAGACGUGAAACCCCUGGGCUUAACCCAGGACCUGCGUUUGAAACUGGAGAGCUUGAGGACCGGAGAGGACAGUGGAAUUCCCAGUGUAGCGGUGAAAUGCGUAGAUAUUGGGAGGAACACCAGUGGCGAAGGCGACUGUCUGGACGGCACCUGACGCUGAGGCGCGAAAGCCAGGGGAGCAAACGGG